UUGUGACAAAGGGAGACAUCGGUGUGAGCACCAUCGUAGGAUCAGCUGUCUACAACCUCCUGGGGAUCUGUGCUGCUUGUGGACUCCUGACCAAAGUGGUGGGUCGUCUGACCUGUUGGCCUCUGUUCCGGGACUGUCUAGCUUACGCCAUCUCUAUCUCUGCUGUUAUAGCCAUCAUUUCAGACAACAAAGUCUACUGGUAUGAUGCAGCCUGUCUGUUGCUGGUCUAUGGGGUGUACAUCGUAGUGUUGUGUUUUGACCUGAGGAUCAGUGAGUGUGUUCUGAGGAGGUUCAGCCCCUGCUGUACUUGCCUGGGGAAAGGUUCCGGGGAUCACAGCGAGACACAGCCAUUGGUCGACACCACUCUGAGGGUCCACAGACGUUCUAGAAGCGACAGCGGAAUCUUCCAGGAUGAUUCAGGAUACUCACACAUUUCCCUCAGUCUGCACGGCCUGAAUGAGAUAC